UAGCUCAGCAGUAGAGCACAUGCUUAGCAUGCACGAGAUCCUGGGUUCAAUCCCCAG
rnacentral:tRNA from 1 species